rnacentral:rRNA from 1 species
AGUGAACGCUGGCGGUAGGCCUAACACAUGCAAGUCGAACGGCAGCACAGUAAGAGCUUGCUCUUACGGGUGGCGAGUGGCGGACGGGUGAGGAAUACAUCGGAAUCUACUUUUUCGUGGGGGAUAACGUAGGGAAACUUACGCUAAUACCGCAUACGACCUACGGGUGAAAGCAGGGGAUCUUCGGACCUUGCGCGAUUGAAUGAGCCGAUGUCGGAUUAGCUAGUUGGCGGGGUAAUGGCCCACCAAGGCGACGAUGCGUAGCUGGUAUGAGAGGAUGACCGGCAAAAGUGGGACUGAGAGACGGCCCAGACCCCUACGGGAGGCAGUAGUGGGGAAUAUUGCACGAUGGGCGGAAGCCUGAUGCAGCAACGCCGUGUGCGGGAUGACGGCCUUCGGGUUGUAAACCGAUUUCGCCUGUGACGAAGCGUGAGUGACGGUAAUGGGUAAAGAAGCACCGGCUAACUACGUA